rnacentral:rRNA from 1 species
UACGUAGGGGGCUAGCGUUGCUCGGAAUCACUGGGCGUAAAGCGCACGUAGGCGGUUUGUUAAGUCAGGGGUGAAAUCCUGGAGCUCAACUCCAGAACUGCCUUUGAUACUGGCGAUCUCGAGUCCGGGAGAGGUGAGUGGAACUGCGAGUGUAGAGGUGAAAUUCGUAGAUAUUCGCAAGAACACCAGUGGCGAAGGCGGCUCGCUGGCCCGGUACUGACGCUGAGGUGCGAAAGCGUGGGGAGCAAACAGG